rnacentral:lncRNA from 1 species
GCGCGCAGACACUUACUCGGCUCCAGAGGCCAUGGCGCGCGCCUCUCCCGGUCGGCGGCUGUGGCGGCCUGAGGGUAACGGCUAUGAGAAAGGCAGGCGACCGACUAGGCCGGGGCUGGACUCGCUGAGGCGGAGGAGCAACAGCAGUGACAAACCCUCUGGCAGCCUCCCUCUCGCUUCCUCCCAGGGGCACCGGGGCGGCAGGCGGGCGGGCGGGAGACGCUAGCUCCUAAUCCGCGAGGGGGGCAGCGACUAAUCAAACGACGGCUGCAAACGCUUCACGGAGACUGAACCGAGAAAAGCCGAAUCAUCGGAAGGAAAGCUGCUCUAACCCCAACCAAUCAGCGCCGGCCUUGGGACUCGUGCCCGCCUCUCCGUGCCUCUCCCCAGCAACCCGCAGACCGUAACCAAUCAGAAAAUUCGUUUGUGGCCUGGCCCCGCCUCAAGGCUGCAACACGCCUAGUAACGCCACGUCAAUUGGCCGCAGCACUACGCUUCCUCGACGGAUAGGGAGUCUUGACCAAUCGACAAAGGCAAUAGGCCAUAUCCUCUUUAUCCCUCGGAGGAGGCCUCUCCUACUUGGCUUCAAUUGAUUGGCUCCUUAGUUUAUAAGCAGCUGGAAGAACCUCGCACAAAGGCCUGAACCCUUAUUAGUUUAGUUGGGUUGUAAUAAUAGCCCACAUUGUUCAUUUCUCGCCAAUCCUAGGGAUCCUCUUACUCCACCAUACUAAAAUCCUUCAUGCUCCUUUAAAACACUGGCUCCAACCAAGGGCGUGGUUGAUGGACUAGGUCUGUACUUUUAGUAGUUGGGAAGAUGAGAGGCAGGAAGACUAAUAGAUGGAGAUCAACCCAGGAUACAAGACCAUAUCUUUAAUUCUAGUCCCAAACAGUAUUUCAAUAAAUUUUAAAAGC